UACAGAGGGUGCGAGCGUUAAUCGGAAUUACUGGGCGUAAAGCGUGCGUAGACGGUUAUUUAAGUCGGAUGUGAAAGCCCCGGGCUCAACCCUGGGAAUUGCAUUCGAGACUGAAUAGCUAGGGUGCGGUAGAGGGAAGCGGAAUUUCCGGUGUAGCGGUGAAAUGCGUAGAUAUCGGAAGGAACAUCAGUGGCGAAAGCGGCUUCCUGGACCAGUACCGACGUUCAGGCACGAA
rnacentral:rRNA from 1 species